rnacentral:lncRNA from 1 species
CACAAAGGACUUAAAAGCCAUUAUUUGACAUUGAGUUCCUCCAGAAGAGAACUUCUAAAUAUGCCAAGACUGAACAUUAUACAAACCUGAUGUUCUAACUCAUGAGAUCAUUAUUGUAAGAUUGACAAGCUCUAUACUGCAGACUACCCAUCACACACAUGGUAUGAUGAAACACUUCCCUCCACAAUACAGGUUACACUGAAAAGUAUCUCAACACACACACACACACAAAGAGAGAGAGAGACAGAGAGAGAAAGAGAGAGAGAGAGAGAGAGAGAGAGA